rnacentral:rRNA from 1 species
AUUGAACGCUGGCGGCAUGCUUUACACAUGCAAGUCGAACGGUAACAGGCCGCAAGGUGCUGACGAGUGGCGAACGGGUGAGUAAUGCAUCGGAACGUGCCCAGUCGUGGGGGAUAACGCAGCGAAAGCUGUGCUAAUACCGCAUACGAUCUAUGGAUGAAAGCGGGGGACCGUAAGGCCUCGCGCGAUUGGAGCGGCAGAUGUCAGAUUAGCUAGUUGGUGGGGUAAAGGCCCACCAAGGCGACGAUCUGUAGCUGGUCUGAGAGGAAGACCAGGCACACGGGGGCUGAGGCUCGGCCCAGACUCCUACGGUAGGCAGCAGUGGGGAAUUUUGGGCGAUGGGCGCAAGCCUGAUCCAGCAAUGCCGCGUGCAGGAAGAAGGCCUUCGGGUUGUAAACUGCUUUUGUACGGAACGAAACGGUCUGGGUUAAUACCUCGGGCUAAUGACGGUACCGUAAGAAUAAGCACCGGCUAACUACGUGCCAGCCGCCGCGGUAAUAC